rnacentral:rRNA from 1 species
AAAUUGAAGAGUUUGAUCAUGGCUCAGAUUGAACGCUGGCGGCAGGCCUAACACAUGCAAGUCGAACGGUAACAGGAAGCAGCUUGCUGCUUCGCUGACGAGUGGCGGACGGGUGAGUAAUGUCUGGGAAACUGCCUGAUGGAGGGGGAUAACUACUGGAAACGGUGGCUAAUACCGCAUAACGUCGCAAGACCAAAGAGGGGGACCUUCGGGCCUCUUGCCAUCAGAUGUGCCCAGAUGGGAUUAGCUUGUUGGUGAGGUAACGGCUCACCAAGGCGACGAUCCCUAGCUGGUCUGAGAGGAUGACCAGCCACACUGGAACUGAGACACGGUCCAGACUCCUACGGGAGGCAGCAGUGGGGAAUAUUGCACAAUGGGCGCAAGCCUGAUGCAGCCAUGCCGCGUGUAUGAAGAAGGCCUUCGGGUUGUAAAGUACUUUCAGCGGGGAGGAAGGUGUUGUGGUUAAUAACCACAGCAAUUGACGUUACCCGCAGAAGAAGCACCGGCUAACUCCGUGCCAGCAGCCGCGGUAAUACGGAGGGUGCAAGCGUUAAUCGGAAUUACUGGGCGUAAAGCGCACGCAGGCGGUCUGUCAAGUCGGAUGUGAAAUCCCCGGGCUCAACCUGGGAACUGCAUUCGAAACUGGCAGGCUUGAGUCUUGUAGAGGGGGGUAGAAUUCCAGGUGUAGCGGUGAAAUGCGUAGAGAUCUGGAGGAAUACCGGUGGCGAAGGCGGCCCCCUGGACAAAGACUGACGCUCAGGUGCGAAAGCGUGGGGAGCAAACAGGAUUAGAUACCCUGGUAGUCCACGCCGUAAACGAUGUCUACUUGGAGGUUGUGCCCUUGAGGCGUGGCUUCCGGAGCUAACGCGUUAAGUAGACCGCCUGGGGAGUACGGCCGCAAGGUUAAAACUCAAAUGAAUUGACGGGGGCCCGCACAAGCGGUGGAGCAUGUGGUUUAAUUCGAUGCAACGCGAAGAACCUUACCUGGUCUUGACAUCCACGGAAGUUUUCAGAGAUGGACUGGUGCCUUCGGGAACUGUGAGACAGGUGCUGCAUGGCUGUCGUCAGCUCGUGUUGUGAAAUGUUGGGUUAAGUCCCGCAACGAGCGCAACCCUUAUCCUUUGUUGCCAGCGGUUCGGCCGGGAACUCAAAGGAGACUGCCAGUGAUAAACUGGAGGAAGGUGGGGAUGACGUCAAGUCAUCAUGGCCCUUACGACCAGGGCUACACACGUGCUACAAUGGCGCAUACAAAGAGAAGCGACCUCGCGAGAGCAAGCGGACCUCAUAAAGUGCGUCGUAGUCCGGAUUGGAGUCUGCAACUCGACUCCAUGAAGUCGGAAUCGCUAGUAAUCGUGGAUCAGAAUGCCACGGUGAAUACGUUCCCGGGCCUUGUACACACCGCCCGUCACACCAUGGGAGUGGGUUGCAAAAGAAGUAGGUAGCUUAACCUUCGGGAGGGCGCUUACCACUUUGUGAUUCAUGACUGGGGUGAAGUCGUAACAAGGUAACCGUAGGGGAACCUGCGGUUGGAUCACCUCCUUA